AGAAUUAGUGGUUGAAAGGAAAAAUUACUAUCUGCCAGGGGGAAGGAGAUCCUAUUAAAGGCGGUGAUCCAAGCCAUACCUACCUAUGCAUUGUUGGUCUUUAAAAUUCCUAACUGUAAAGGAAUCAUUGACGCGAUGGCGCAUUUCUGGUGAGGAGACGAGGAUAACCAAAAGAGGAUGCACUGGAUGCCCUGAUGGAAAAUGUGUGUACCAAAAAACCAAGGAGGAAUGAGAUUUCGUGAUAUCCAUUGUUUCAACCUGGCUCUGCUUGCAAAACAGGCAUGGCGUCUCCUUGAUAAUCCUGACUCCUUAUGUGCUACUAUUCUAAAGGCCAAGUACUAUCCUAAUGGUGAUUUGCUGAACUCCAAGCCAAAAGCAUGGCGCUUCCUUCACCUGACAAAGCAUUAUGGCAGGCAUCACUUCUCUCAAGCGAGGUUAUAUUUGGCGAGUAGGGGAUGGACAUAA
rnacentral:rRNA from 1 species